GAAGAACAGAAGAAAACAGUCACAAAUAAAAGAAAUUGAGGGAAAUUCUGCAAUGGUAUAUACAUAUUACCAUUUGGAAAACUUUGUUGCAUUGCAGCAGACAAAGAUGGCUGUAGCUGCAAAGGGAUGUCUUCCAGACAACUUUCAAGCUGAGGCACAGAACAAAAACUAUGUUGAUCCUUCUCAUCAAUGACAUACUGAAGACCUAAGAUGGGUAGUAAUAUCUAUCCUUUUGGAUCCCUUGGUGACUUUUGAAUCCAUCAGCUCUAGUAUCCUUCUGGACUGUGAAAAUUGGUAUGACUGAAAUUUGAAGACAAACAUUUGUUUUUAUUUCUACACUCUGAAGACUGCCCCUGGUUCAAGGAAAACCUAAUUUCUACCACAAGAUGUAAUGUUUCACACAGUUGCUCAUAUAAUUUUGAAAAGAUUCAUUUCUGGCUUGUGUGGAGUUGAAGAAAAUAGAGAAAGAAGAGGUCCUACUAGGGAACAACAAGAACAUGAUUUGUGAGACUACAAGUUUGAGUUUGUGUCUCCAACUUCAUCUGGACAGCUGCUACACAAUUCUGUGACAGAAAACAUAAUUCCUUCUACAUUACUGCAAUACAGACACCCACAGCUUUUAUUUUCCAGUCAUGCCUAUGAACCUCAAGGCUUGCCCAAUUUUGCUUGAAACAGCUACUUAAAAAUAAGAAGACAGGGACCACGACUGACGUUUCCAUCUAAAAUCUUAAAGUAAAACUUUCUUCUAAUACUUUGUUCAUGAAAUAUUGUAUCUCUUAGUGGUAGGUCUACUGUUAACUUGCAGUA